GAUGAACGCUAGCGGCAGGCCUAAUACAUGCAGGUCGGACGGGAUUCAGGAGCUUGCUUCUGAUGAGAGUGGCGCACGGGUGCGUAACACGUAUGUAACCUACCUUUAUCAGGGGGAUAGCCUCUCGAAAGAGAGAUUAAGCCCGCAUAAAAUCACAGCACAGCAUUGUGUAAUGAUCAAAUAUUUAUAGGAUAAAGAUGGGCAUGCGGAACAUUAGCUAGAUGGCGGGGUAACGGCCCACCAUGGCGACGAUGUUUAGGGGAUCUGAGAGGAUGGCCCCCCACACUGGUACUGAGACACGGACCAGACUCCUACGGGAGGCAGCAGUAAGGAAUAUUGGUCAAUGGGCGGAAGCCUGAACCAGCCAUGCCGCGUGCAGGAAGACGGCCCUACGGGUUGUAAACUGCUUUUAUACGGGAAUAAACCCAGAUACGUGUAUCUGGCUGAAUGUACUGUAAGAAUAAGGACCGGCUAACUCCGUG
rnacentral:rRNA from 1 species